GCCUGACAUAGAGAGGGCCCUUAUAAGUGUUUGUGAAAGACUGACAGAGACAUGGCCUAUGAAACAAGAAGCUGGAUAACAUUGCUCAGGGCUCAGAGGAGAGAGGAGUGUAGUCUACACUUCACAUCUCUGCCAAGGCUGGCACUGGACCCAAAGUUCCACACCACUGAGCCAAACACAUCCAGACCCCUUUCCAACCCAGGGUUCUCGUGAUAAGCAAAAUACUGUUCCCGCAAGUGAUGCCCCCAAUCUUCUAAGGACAUAAGCAAAAGAAUAAAGCCUCGCCAUGAGCACAGCUGCGUGCUGAGUCCCGGGAGUCCUUCCAGAGAACCUCCAAACAUGAGAAACAGGAAGUUGUGUUUGGCCACGGACAAACUCUUUCAGUGCCCCUGGGACUUACAAGAUGUUUGGAAUGAGGAACGCUUUCCCAAGAUGGUGAGCUCAGCGGAGGCCCCAGGAAAACAUGCUGUGUGAGAGGAGAGUUUUCCCCAUAAGAUAGACUGCCCUUCAGCCCUGGCCACAAAGAGGAGCAACCCCUGCCUGCUGUCCUCCGGGACGGAAUGUGGCUAUAUCCUUCCCUUCCUCUGCGUCCUGUCCCAGUACUUACUGAUGGAGCACGUUUGGGGCUUGGGGAGCCUGGGUGUCUGACUCACGGUGCAGCUAGGGAUGGGGAAUUCUAGGCAGGGACGAACCUCUCUUCACCUGGGGAAUUCCCUCCCACAUUGCACAGAGCAGAAUGGGAGUGGAG